GCCCAGAUAGCUCAGUCGGUAGAGCAUUUCACUCGUAAUGAAAAGGUCGAGGGUUCGAUUCCCUCUCUGGGCUCCA
rnacentral:tRNA from 4 species